UACGUAGGGUGCGAGCGUUAAUCGGAAUUACUGGGCGUAAAGCGUGCGUAGGCGGUUCGUUAAGUUCGUUGUGAAAGCCCCGGGCUCAACCUGGGAAUGGCAAUGGAAACUGGCGGGCUGGAGUAUGGCAGAGGGGGGUGGAAUUCCGCGUGUAGCAGUGAAAUGCGUAGAGAUGCGGAGGAGCACCGAUGGCGAAGGCAGCCCCCUGGGCCAAUACUGACGCUCAGGCACGAAAGCGUGGGGAGCAAACAGG
rnacentral:rRNA from 1 species